GGGGACUUCCACUGCUGGAUGUGUGGGAAGAACUUAACAGUGAGAAGCAGUGGCAGGGCCACAUCUCUUCCGAGAAGCACAAAAAGAAGGUUUUCCACACAGAAGAUGACCAGUACUGCUGGCAGCACCACUUUCCAACAGGAUAUUUUAGUAUCUGUGAUAGGUAUAUGGAUGGUACCUGCACAGAAGGAAGCAGCUGUAAAUUUGCCCAUGGAAAUGCUGAACUUCAUGAAUGGGAAGAAAGAAGAGAUGUUCUAAAGAUGAAGCUCAACAAAGCACGAAAAGAUCACUUAAUUGCCCCAAAUGAUAAUGACUUUGGAAAAUAUAGUUUUUUGUUUAAAGAUUUAAACUAAUAUGUUGGCUUUUAUGUACGUUACCUAAUCAGAGCACUGACCAGAAAAAUUGAAGGUGUUCUAAGGCACGUAGCAGAGGAGCUGCAGAUUUUCUGCUUGUAUUGGCGUCUAUCGUUCCUCCUGAGCAGCAACCCACAGUAGGUAGGAAAAUGGGCUGUUUCACAGUUCUGGCCACGCUCUCACAGAACCAUUGGCUCCAAUGGUGAAGUGACUGCUACCCGGUUGCCAUCUGUUGAACAGACUUUUGGAUGGAUGAAGUGUGUUGGAAAAGAGGAUAAGGUUAUGUCUAGGAUGACUCAUUGAGUUGGUUCCUUCAGAUAAGAACCAUGAUGGUAAGAGAAUAAACACUGGUACUGGGAUCAGAA